rnacentral:rRNA from 1 species
ACCGCUGACGACCGGCGAACGGGUGCGUAACGCGUAUAGAAUCUGCCUUGUACAGGAGGAUAGCCUUUAGAAAUGAAGAUUAAUACUCCAUAAUACUGAGAUGUGGCAUCACAAUUUAGUUAAAGAUUUAUCGGUACAAGAUGACUAUGCGUCCUAUUAGCUAGAUGGUAAGGUAACGGCUUACCAUGGCAACGAUAGGUAGGGGGUCUGAGAGGAUUAUCCCCCACACUGGUACUGAGACACGGACCAGACUCCUACGGGAGGCAGCAGUGAGGAAUAUUGGUCAAUGGAGGCAACUCUGAACCAGCCAUGCCGCGUGCAGGAAGACUGCCCUAUGGGUUGUAAACUGCUUUUAUACAGGAAGAAACAGUCGUACGAGUACGACCUUGACGGUACUGUAAGAAUAAGCACCGGCUAACUCCGUGCCAGCAGCCGCGGUAAUACGGAGGGUGCAAGCGUUAUCCGGAAUCAUUGGGUUUAAAGGGUCCGCAGGCGGUCAAUUAAGUCAGAGGUGAAAUCCCAUAGCUUAACUAUGGAACUGCCUUUGAUACUGGUUGACUUGAGUUAUACGGAAGUAGAUAGAAUAAGUAGUGUAGCGGUGAAAUGCAUAGAUAUUACUUAGAAUACCGAU